CACCGGCACCCCGAGUGGUAGCCACUAUUAUUGGGCCUAAAGCAUCCGUAGCCUGUUCUAUAAGUUUCCGGUUAAAUCCAUAUGCUCAACAUAUGGGCCGCCGGAAAUACUGUAGAACUAGGGAGUGGGAGAGGUAGACGGUACUCGGUAGGAAGAGGUAAAAUUCUUUGAUCUAUUGAUGACCACCUGUGGCGAAGGCGGUCUACCAGAACAUGUUCGACGGUGAGGGAUGAAAGCUGGGGGAGCAAACCGG
rnacentral:rRNA from 1 species